UGGGGAAUAUUGCACAAUGGGCGCAAGCCUGAUGCAGCCAUGCCGCGUGUGUGAAGAAGGCCUUCGGGUUGUAAAGCACUUUCAGCGAGGAGGAAGGUGGUGAGCUUAAUACGCUCAUCAAUUGACGUUACUCGCAGAAGAAGCACCGGCUAACUCCGUGCCAGCAGCCGCGGUAAUACGGAGGGUGCAAGCGUUAAUCGGAAUUACUGGGCGUAAAGCGCACGCAGGCGGUUUGUUAAGUCAGAUGUGAAAUCCCCGGGCUCAACCUGGGAACUGCAUUUGAAACUGGCAAGCUAGAGUCUCGUAGAGGGGGGUAGAAAUUCCAGGUGUAGCGGUGAAAUGCGUAGAGAUCUGGAGGAAUACCGGUGGCGAAGGCGGCCCCCCUGGACGAAGACUGACGCUCAGGUGCGAAAAGCGUGGGGAGCAAAACAGGAUUAGAUACCCUGGUAGUCCACGCUGUAAAACGAUGUCGAUUUUGGAGGUUGUGCCCCUUGAGGCGUGGCUUCCGGAGCUAACGCGUUAAAUCGACCGCCUGGGGAGUACGGCCGCAAGGUUAAAACUCAAAGGAAUUGACGGGGUCUAGCUG
rnacentral:rRNA from 1 species